GCCUACGGGGGGCAGCAGUAGGGAAUCUUCCACAAUGGGCGAAAGCCUGAUGGAGCAACGCCGCGUGGGUGAAGAAGGUCUUCGGAUCGUAAAACCCUGUUGUUAGAGAAGAAAGUGCGUGAGAGUAACUGUUCACGUUUCGACGGUAUCUAACCAGAAAGCCACGGCUAACUACGUGCCAGCAGCCGCGGUAAUACGUAGGUGGCAAGCGUUAUCCGGAUUUAUUGCGCGUAAAGGGAACGCAGGCGGUCUUUUAAGUCUGAUGUGAAAGCCUUCGGCUUAACCGGAGUAGUGCAUUGGAAACU
rnacentral:rRNA from 1 species